GAUGAACGCUAGCGGCAGGCUUAACACAUGCAAGUCGAGGGGCAACACGGGUAGCAAUACCUGGUGGCGACCGGCGCAAGGGUGCGUAACGCGUGAGCAACAUGCCCUAUACAGGGGGAUAAUCCAGGGAAACUUGGUCUAAUAUCCCAUAGUAUUUAGAGGUGGCAUCACCACUAAAUUAAAGCUUCGGUGGUAUAGGAUUGGCUCGCGUGACAUUAGCUGGAUGGUGGGGUAACGGCUCACCAUGGCGAUGAUGUCUAGGGGUUCUGAGAGGAACGACCCCCCACACUGGGACUGAGACACGGCCCAGACUCCUACGGGAGGCAGCAGUGAGGAAUAUUGGUCAAUGGGCGGAAGCCUGAACCAGCCAUGCCGCGUGGCGGGAUAGAACGGCCCGUACGGGUUAGUAAACCGUCCGUUUUCCCCGGGAAGAAUAACGCCCCCCGCGGGGGGUGAUGCCGGUACCGGGGGAAUAAGGAUCGGCUAACUCCGUG
rnacentral:rRNA from 1 species